rnacentral:lncRNA from 1 species
GGGUUCUGGGCUGCUUGGUUCAGUCUUCGGGAGUGGAAUGUGGAUGGCAAAAUCGAGUUCUGAAUAUGAUGAGGUUGCUCUAAGUUGUUCGAGUUUCAAUCGAAUGUCCUCUAUGCUCAUGAAAAUCUAAAUAUAGAACAAAAAAUAACUAAUUAAAAUAAAAUAAAUAAAUAAAAUGAGAAAAGAAAUAAAAAAAUAAAAAUAAAACGAGUGAUAAUAAACAAACUAGACGCUAGUUCCCCGGCAACGGCGCCA